GACGAACGCUGGCGGCGUGCUUAACACAUGCAAGUCGAACGGAAAGGCCCUGCUUGCAGGGUACUCGAGUGGCGAACGGGUGAGUAACACGUGGGUGAUCUGCCCUGCACUUCGGGAUAAGCCUGGGAAACUGGGUCUAAUACCGGAUAGGAGCCAUUUUUAGUGUGAUGGUUGGAAAGUUUUUUCGGUGUAGGAUGAGCUCGCGGCCUAUCAGCUUGUUGGUGGGGUAAUGGCCUACCAAGGCGGCUACGGGUAGCCGGCCUGAGAGGGUGGACGGCCACAUUGAGACUGAGAUACGGCCCAGACUCCUACGGGAGGCAGCAGUGGGGAAUAUUGCACAAUGGGCGCAAGCCUGAUGCAGCGACGCCGCGGGGCGGAUGACGGCCUUAGGGUUGUAAACUCCUUUCGCUAGGGACGAAGCUUUUUGUGACGGUACCUAGAUAAGAAGCACCGGCUAACUACGUG
rnacentral:rRNA from 1 species